GAUGAACGCUGGCGGCGUGCCUAAUACAUGCAAGUCGAACGAAGAGCUAGCAAUAGUUCUUAGUGGCGAACGGGUGAGUAACGCGUUGGUGACCUGCCCCGAAGAGAGGGAUAACAGUUCGAAAGGACUGCUAAUACCCCAUGAGAUCUUGUUAGUUAGAGAGACGAGAUGAAAGGAGCAAUCCGCUUUGGGAGGGGCCUGCGUCCCAUCAGCUAGUUGGUAGGGUAAAAGCCUACCAAGGCGACGACGGGUAGGGGACCUGAGAGGGUGAUCCCCCA
rnacentral:rRNA from 1 species